CUCUGGAAUAAGCAGCUCACCAAGUCUGCGGGCUCCUAACCCCACGAAGUCCCGGGGGGCAGGACCCCAGGACCUGAGAGGGUCGCACCCAUCACCUCCAGGACCGCGGAGCAGCGCGCCCCAGGGGCCCAGCAGACGCCAUGUUGAGGAACUAGGGGACACCAGCUGAAGAAAUCGACACAGGAUGGAUCCUCUGCAGGGGGAGAAAAAAAAUUGUUCACUCCUCAGGAGGAAGCUUAGCCUUUUCCUUAAGGGUCUGGGGUGAGCUGGCAGCCGCUGCCGCCUGGUCCACGGGCUUAAUUUUGGGGAACAGGAGGCCUACGAUACGGGAGUCAGCACACCGAGACUGAUGGCCCAGCUGCGGUGCUCUAGGUUGAUUUCAAAUAAAUCUCCCAGCCCAUCUGCAACAGAGUGAAUUUAAGUCAACAGCAGGCCUGACUUCUCUUGUUGACAGAUGGGAUUAUGGAUUGAAAGCAGAACGCGGUACACCGGGGAUUCUCACGCAGAAGGACCUCAUUAGGUACAGAAGGCACGCGAAGCUUAACUCCUGCAUCUGGAGCCUAAACAAUGUUCUGACGGGUUGGUAAAGACAGGAGAGAGCAAAGAAGAAUCAAGAAUGAUGAUGUGCUUUUUGCCCUGGGCAUCUAGAAGGAGGUGUAUGGAGGCGGACGAUCAUGGGGCAGGGGUGCGAUCCCUUACCUCAGAGAUACAAGUCAGACGUGAGACGAACACUCGUCUAUGCUCUGGCUCAUGUCUCCGUAUUCAUCUCCGGUUGUGUCUAAUCCAAACUUGGACAGUGUUUUCUAGCCCAGCCACCAAACACGCAGCCUCCUCCGUCAGAAUGUACACCUGAAUCACUUUCUACUUAAAUUGUAGCGAUUAUCCUACUGAUGUAGUGGAAAUGCCGCAUCAGGAUGAAAACAGACCUCUAAAAGCAUGACCCUAACUACAGUACUGUAGCAAUGCUUCCUCCUUUCGAGGCAGACCGUUGACAAGUAUUAUACAUGGGCUCAGUCUUCAGAAUACACCAGCACCCAGCCUCUCCCAGUACGGCCACUGCCCUCACGGAACCUCCUCCUCCCGCUCUGGACCCCUGUGCUCUUCUCUGGGUAACUGCCGGGGACCUUCCCACAAGUCCGAUCCCACAGCUCCUCUGCUCCAAGUUCUCCAUCAGCUUCCAUCUCACUCAGAGGUAAAUCUUCAGUCCUUACAAAGACUG